GGUGCUGGGCUUAGCUAACGCGACGGCGUAUGAGUGGUAAUUGGGUUGUAUCCGACGGCAGGCUCCGUGCUUCGGCAUCGAACUGUCGGCUCGUACCCCGCUUCAUCGAUGCAUCAAGAUUCGUCUUGUGCGCAUGAUGGGUUUCUGUCUUGGCUACCUACUGCGAAGGAACGCUGCCUCUCGUCGUCCCUUUUCCUCCUCUCGCCGGCCUUGCCGGCGGGAGGACGACAUCGCGGCGGUGCUCGUGUCCCGGACUGGCCGCACUCGUUGCGGUGCAGCUUCGGUCCUCGAGUUUCCGCCCGACAUCUCGGAUGCGGAACGCCCAGGGGGCGGUGGGUCUUUACGGCCUCCGAUCGUCCGCUCGAAGCCUUGUCGCUUGAUGCGUACGACUGUCGUGCCCGUCGCGGGCUGCGUCGACCGUCAAGGUCGUCCGUCUCGCGCGGCGCCGGCGUCGAGGAGGAAUGC
rnacentral:misc_RNA from 1 species